UUAAUAAAUUAGUAAAAAUAAAUAUAGAAAGAAAAUAAUAUCUAAAAACCAACAACAGUCCGACUAAAUAUCAGUAAACUAAAACAUGUGUUUCAAGAUUCCUGUACUUAAAGUUCAUUAUUUUAGUCUGACCACCUUUCAGAUGUUUUUCUUAUUUUUCUGUAGAGAUCAUAAAUUAAAUAAACAUUUUCAAACCAAAGAGACUUUUAGAAUUUAAGAUUUCAGUGUUUUAUCACUUUUUUUCUGAUUUUGUCAGAGAUGUUGCAGAGUGUUGGUUCCUCCAUCCUGUGGUUGUGGUUCUGGUUCUGUUCCACAGAGGAGAUCCUGACCUUUGCAUCCCUGAUUGUGAUUUAACAGUAAUGAUGUUGUCAGUGUCUCUGUGAUGCCUCUGAAAUGCUCUUUUCCUGAUUUGUUGUUUGCAUGUUUUCUCUCUUCACCUUUGUCCCUGCUGAGAUCCCCUCCUUCAGACGACUGCAGGAGCUUAUCUUCGCUUUUCAUUCGCGGCUGAAUGAAGCAGCGGAGCUUCCUAAUCUUUAAAACCUCCUGAAGCUGGAAGUGUUUCCUGUUGUCGGGACGAUUAAGAGGAGGCUCGCCUUCAUCGCCGUGUUCUGUCUUUUCUACAGAUCCACCUGGUUCCUCUCACCCUGGACCCGACCUCGUUCUGUUCCAUCCCUCCAGCAGAAGGUUCUGAUCCACCAGGACAGGAACCCAACACAACCAGAACCGCUUCUUCCCCAAAGCAAAUCCUGACCAUCUGUGUGCUGCUGGAGGGGCUCAGAGCAUCUGCAAUGUGUUCAUCACCACCGGCUGAAUGAAUGAAUGAAUCAUGUGGCAUGUUACAUGUUUCUCUACAGAGACUUGGACAGGUCCAACAUAUGCAACUUCUGCCUGAUAGAAAGCAUAACUUUGCUGGUUUUACGUUGCUGCCAACCUGUCAGGAACAUUUAUGUGGCAUAUUUAAAGAGGAAAAUCCUCCACUCACACCAGUCUAUCAUCAUGUUGAUCAUGUUGGGUUAUGUUCAGGAUGUUUUAUAUGUUCCAACACUUUUCCUCUGACACGAGCACAUCACCGUGCAUGGCGAGCUGCAGGCGCUGCAGGUGUCACAUGAUCCAAACGACUGCCAAACGCCGGUAGGGAGCAGAUGGAGCGUUGAGGAGGGCAGUGGACCCCGACCCUCUGUCACUGGAGGUAAGUCCCUGCCGACUCCUGGAUGCCUCGUUAAUGAGCGCCGAGCUUCCUGUUGACAGAUUCACCCAUAAGGGCAAAGGUUUGUCCUUAUGGGUGUAACACCCUGUAACACCAAGAGAAACAAUCUUCUAAAAGUUCCUAUAAAACUGGAAUCACGGUGAAAAAAAUCAAAUAAAACUCCCCUCCUGUGAUAUGAAGGGAAAUGUUGAAUAAAGCUGAACACUCUUGGUGACGUAAA